GCCAGCAUGGCGCAGUGGUUUGUGUGUUGGUCUACAACUCUGGAGACCAGGGUUCAAAUCUCCGCUCAGCCA